rfam:Picea glauca, whole genome shotgun sequence.
AUGUGAUGUAAUGCCUACAAUGUUAAUGCAUUGGAUCCCAUUAGAACUCCACAGGUAAGCACGCUUGGGAUAGAGUAGUACUAGGAUGGGUGACCUCCCGGGAAGUCCUAGUGUUUUACAUG